rnacentral:rRNA from 1 species
GACGAACGCUGGCGGCGUGCUUAAUACAUGCAAGUCGAACGGAAAGGCCCUGCUCUUGCGGCGCGCUCGAGUGGCGAACGGGUGAGUAACACGUGAGUAACCUGCCCCUGACAUUGGGAUAACUCCAGGAGACUCGGGCUCUUAUCGCAUAUGAGCUCCUGCUGCAUGUGGGUGGAUGGAAAGAUUCGGCGGUUGGGGAUGGACUCGCGGCUUAUCGGCUUGUUGGUGGGGUAGUGGCUUACCAAGGCUUUGACGGGUAGCCGGCCUGGGAGGGUGACCGGCCACAUUGGGACUAAGAGACGGACCAGAAUGCUACGGGAGGCAGCGGUGGGGAAUAUUGCGGAGUAAGCGGGAGCCUGAGACAGCAACGCCGCGAGCGGGAUGACGGCCUUCGAGUGAUGAACCGCUUUGGACGGUAACAAAGAGUGAGUGACGGUAAUGGGUAAGAAAGCAACGGCUAACUACGUG